GACGAACGCUGGCGGCGUGCUUAACACAUGCAAGUCGAACGGAAAGGCCCUGCUUUUGUGGGGUGCUCGAGUGGCGAACGGGUGAGUAACACGUGAGUAACCUGCCCUUGACUUUGGGAUAACUUCAGGAAACUGGGGCUAAUACCGGCUAGGAGCUCCUGCUGCAUGGUGGGGGUUGGACAGUUUCGGCGGUUGGGGAUGGACUCGCGGCUUAUCAGCUUGUUGGUGGGGUAGUGGCUUACCAAGGCUUUGACGGGUAGCCGGCCUGAGAGGGUGACCGGCCACAUUGGGACUGAGAUACGGCCCAGACUCCUACGGGAGGCAGCAGUGGGGAAUAUUGCACAAUGAGCGGAAGCCUGAUGCAGCGACGCCGCGUGCGGGAUGACGGCCUUCGGGUUGUAAACCGCUUUCGCCUGUGACGAAGCGUGAGUGACGGUAAUGGGUAAAGAAGCACCGGCUAACUACGUG
rnacentral:rRNA from 1 species